GACGAACGCUGGCGGCGUGCUUAACACAUGCAAGUCGAACGGUGACCCAGGGCUUGCCCUGGUGAUCAGUGGCGAACGGGUGAGUAACACGUGGGCAACCUGCCCCUGACUUCGGGAUAACUCCUCGAAAGAGGAGCUAAUACCGGAUACGACCACUUCGGACAUCCGAUGGUGGUGGAAAGUUUUUCGGUCAGGGAUGGGCCCGCGGCCUAUCAGCUAGUUGGUGGGGUAAUGGCCUACCAAGGCGACGACGGGUAGCCGGCCUGAGAGGGCGACCGGCCACACUGGGACUGAGACACGGCCCAGACUCCUACGGGAGGCAGCAGUGGGGAAUAUUGCGCAAUGGGCGAAAGCCUGACGCAGCGACGCCGCGUGAGGGAUGAAGGCCUUCGGGUUGUAAACCGUCUUUCUAGCAGGGACGAAGCGAAAGUGACGGUACCUAGCGGAAGAAG
rnacentral:rRNA from 1 species